UGCCUUGUAUCUGGUGAGAGACUUGCUGUUGCUGUUAUUUUCUCCAGAGAAUUCUAAGAGAUUACAAAGACCUGAGGAGACUUUUUGAAAAAAUGUGCAUAAACUGAUUGGAUUCAACAAUCUAACUUCCUCUGGGGCUACUGAAAUGAGACUGCCCCACCUCUUCCCUGGAGGCUUCCAGCUCUGUCAUGGCCCUCCAGUGACUUCCUGUUGACAGUGUCCUUGGGAUGGAAUCACUCCAUCAACUCCUCUAAAGGACAGUUUCAAAACCCCAUGGUUCUUCUGCUAAUCUGUAGCAACACUUGGCUACCCAAACGACUGGAGGCAUAAACCGACCUGGAGACUUGGGAAUCGGGACAAUGAGGAGUCUGCCCUGUUGCCUUUGGAAAUCCUCUUCUGAACUUCUGCAUGAGAGAGCAGCGAUAUUUCAUUUCUGGGGGUAACUGAGAUGCAGUGGUGACAGCGGACCUGCUCCACUGUGCCUUCCAGUUGCCUUUGGGGUCAGGUUCCAAUGCUGAGCACGCCCACGAGCGCUGCUGGUCAGCCUCUUUUCCAGCCAUCCUCCACAGGCCCCCAGGGUUCCUCAAGAGCAAACGUCACCAACUCAGGCUGACUCAUAUAAGGUGGUACAGCUUCCUCCCCAUUCACUGGAACACUCACAUUGGGAGCCUGGGGAAGCCACGUAGGAAGUCUGACCAGCACGAGGCCGCCAUGCUGUGUGGAAACCCAAGUCACACUGUGAGGCUCUGCGUAGCUGCCCCGGUUAACCAUCCCAGCUGAGCUCAGCCUGAGUCACUCGCCUCCAGACACCAGACAUGUGAGUGAAGGAGCCUCCAGGUAAUUAUCCUGCCCCAAGCCAUUCUACUUGUCCCAUCUGAAGCCGUGACAUCGUGAAACAGACGCUAGCCAUCCUCUCUGUACCCUUUCCAAAUUAUCUGUAAGAAUAAUUAAAUCAUUGUUGUUUUACACCACUAAGUUUAAGGACAUUUCUUAAGCAACAUUAAUAACCAAAACACUAACUGAACCCCAAUUCACCCUCCACUGCAUGUUUAUGUCCUGGAGGAGAGGAUGUGGCCCUUUCUCGGCUGCUGAGGGGGAUUGUCGGUUCCAAGUGCUUCUUGCCGUCUUACAAAGGAAACCUGCUGAAUCAUCAGUGGUGGACAAAUACCGUGGCUGGAGCUGACGUUUGAUGGUGUUCCUGGUGGAGGAGGCCACUGUCCGUUCAACCUUUAGGCCUUCGUGGAGGGGUGGGUACUAGAAACUUUCAGUUUCCGUAUGCAGCCUGCGUUACACUUCUGGACAGUGCUGUCACCGAAUGAGGAUCUCAGAGAUUGUCUAUUGUGACCACCCUGUAGAAACUGGAUGGACCUCAACCCAAAAUUUGGCUCAGAUGUUGAGACUGAUUAUGUCACAUAUCAAGAGGAGAUGAAAAGUGUCUCAUGGAAAGCCACCUUGGAGGACAAGAAGAUUCUUUCUCCAGGAGAUGGUCUUUGUGUUUUGUGGAUCUGCUGGGAAGGAGGAAAUGCUGAAAGCUGGCGGUCAGGUGCUGCCUGGGCCCCCAGGGACUCUGGCUCCUAGAGCAGCCCCAGGCCGACUUGGCUGAUGUUUGCUGACAAGCUGGCUCAGGAAAGUGACUUGAAAAGUAAAUACUAACUCAACACAAAAUGAAAAGGAAACGAAGAGUCUGAAAAAAAACCAAAAACACAAACAAAUCCGUGAGAAGAGAGUGGGCAUUGUGCGCUCCCUCUUUUUGACAUCAAAGUGUCUUUGAAUGGAGCCAGGAAGCUCUCACAUCUUUAAAUCCACGUUUACUUGAGGUUUGAAAACUUCCAAGAGAGGUUAGCAGUCCGGGGACAGAGGGCUCCCACUGCACCACAGGAGCAGAGCUUAAAUGCUUUACAAAGAAAAGGGAACACACUCGUUGGGGUUUGUUUUAAUCCUUCCAGGAGAGUGGUGUGGAGUGUACAGCAUGCAUUUGGAAGCCCGAGUACUUAAACACACAUCUGGGAAGGUUCAGAAUCUUCGCCUGGUUCUCGGUGUCUCUGAAGUGUUAGUAGUCCAGUGUCUUGUUUAUUGUGCCACACAAAAAUAAAUCUGAAUCUGUUUUGAUUUUUCUGAUUCUCUUCCACUCUGGAAGUAGAGCAGCCUUUUUGGUGGAAGUGACUUGCAUAAAGUCUCAAAUAAUUACCAAUUCCAGCUGACACUCGCUGGGACCCUGGAACUCGCUCCAUCUGCUGCCUUCCAGGAAGAACAAAGGAUGGAAGGAGUUGCUGGAGAACCAGAGAAAGAGCGCCUCCUAUAUUAUGGCCAACACAGAGAAUUCCAUAAAGAUUUGCAUGUGGAGUCAGCCCACAAUUGUCUGGCGAAUGGGAGAAGAUAGAUAUGAAAAGUAAUUUUACCAGACCAACUUAGACGGCAGUUCUGGGAUGCACCGGUGGAUUCUUGGUCCAGACGUGGAACCUGUUUUUUAAGUUCAAGAUGAGUUUAACCACAACCCAGGUGAGAUCGACGGGCAGCCAACAAAGGAUGGCUCAGCCCAUCCAAUCAAAAGACGUCAAAGCUAGACCAUGAGGAGGUCGAGGGAACUACUCCAAUAAAAGUUCAUGAAGGCCCUUGUCCAGUUUCCAGACUUGAGCCAGUUUUUGGACAGAACCUGUUGACUGAAGGAAAGGCAGAUUCUCCAGGACGAAGGAACUUGCAACACCACGCAGUCCCCUCCAGCAUCGACUCUGAGCUUGGGAAAAUGGAUGUGGGCAGGCAUGAUGCAAGCAAAGGCUGAGAAGAGUCUGCACGUGGUGGCUUGUCUUCUUGGAGUGCUUGCUCUGGGGAUCUGUUAGCCAUGGAAAGAAGCUCUAGGUAGCCACAUGAAGAGACGACACGGAAAGAGAGGCCCCAGCCUGCCAGCCCUCCCUGCUAAUGUGCCCACCACAUGAGCGAAGCUGUCUUGGACAUUCCUGCCAUCUGACUGCAUCUGCUUGAGAGACUCCAAGCAAGACCAGCAGAAGAACGAUCCAGUUCAGCCCUGUGAACCCACGCGUUGGUUCUAAGUAAUAAAAUGGU
rnacentral:lncRNA from 1 species